AGGGAAUAUAAUUACUUUAGAAUGCUUUGAGAAUAGCAAAAAAAAAAAAAAAGUGACGUGCUUUCAGUUUUAAUUAGUUACAGAAUAAUCUGAAUUUAAUGAAAAAUAAUGUAAAGUAGAAAUUUAUGUAUAUAAAUAUUAAGGUAACGUAUGUCAACUUUGUCCAUGCGCAAAAUUACAUUACAGACCUUAUUAUCAUUAAUAUUUUUGUAAUAUCCAAACAAUUGUAAAUGUUUACAUCUAACUUAUCUUUGAACAUUCAGAAAAAUAAUACUUUAGAACGAUUUAUAGUAAGCAAUGUGAAGUAUAUAGUUUAUUGGUGUUUUUACUCAGGCACAAAAGGGAGAAUAGUGUUUUAAUUUUAGAAAAUACAGUGUAAUACAUUUAGGUGAAGUUAUACAUUUCCAAAUACUGGUGCAUAAUGUUAUUCUUUACGAUUUUUAUUAUAGAUUAAGGAAAGGAUACUCACAAUGUUUAUGUAUCCGACACUCCUUGAAUGCAUCACGGUGCAGCAGGUGCCACAGGUUUGGCUGAUGGGGUCACGUGAUGUGUGGUAUAAAAAGCACGGCUGAGUCACUUUACCUCAUCACACGGUGCAGCCACUACUACAAACAACAUGAUGAAGACGAGCUCCGUGUACCUUGGAUUUUUCCUGCUGGUUCUCAUCAUGGUACCACAGGCUCGGGGCAACACUACAGCUGUCCCUACGGGGACCACAACACCUGCCUCCAACAGCUCCUCUGUGACCGCCGCCACCACGGGGAACGGCUCCGGUAUGACGGACCCCUCUGUUCUGCUGCUCCCCCUGGCUCUGGCUGCGGUUCUCCUUCACGGGUGGUCCUCAUGACGGUCCUUAUCCUGGACCGAUGGACGCGAUAUGUCUGGGCUGUGGUCACAACUGACGUAUUCUGAACUUAAAUUGUCUGCGGAAAUGCGCACUGCUCCAUCCAACUUUACGCACCAACUUCCCGGACACGCUCGGCUCCUUUUUUCUCGUGUCAGUCUUUGAUGGACCAUGAAAAAUCCCCCGUCCUGCUGAAAGCUCCUCUGUGACGGAGGGGGAUGUUUGUGUUUUGUUUUUUCACACCAGCUCUGACUGUAAAAACGCUCAAAAUUUUGUACUGAAGUGUAUUUGUGCUUUUAGCCUUGCUUUUGUAGCCCAUUUCAAUAAAGCUUUGGAUUAUGCAUAAUCUGUUGUUAAA
rnacentral:lncRNA from 1 species